ACAAGCUGGAAAGAGAUUAAUUUUAUCCUGGUUCCUUGUUCUCUUCAGCAGAUGAACAACUGCAGCAUCAGCACAGAUUUCUGCUACUUGAAUUAAUGGAGUGCCACUGCCAGUCACAGGUUGUCAUCCUCUGAGUAAAGCCCUCUAAGAAGAAGAUUGCUGAUGGGCACUGGUGAGAAACAUGAACUGAGGAUUUGCUUGCUGGCUGGGAUGGCAAUUGGAUGGAUGUGCAUUCCAGAUAUAAGCUAAGCCAUGCUCCUUGUGCAACCCAAGAGGAAGGACUUUUAACCCAGCACAGAGCACCGGCCCUGGCUGAGAAGAUCACAGAAAGCUCUCAGCACUCCUCAUCCCAGUGCACCAGCUCUUAUGGACCCCAAAUCAUGGGUGCACAUCUGCCUCAUUUCCCUGCACUGCCUGAUUGUAUUUCCACCCUCUGCCAAGCUGGUGAUGCCACAGGACCUGAAGAGGGAAAGAGUGAAAUUCUGCUUUCACCAAGAUUUUGAAAACCAACCACAUAUGAAGAUGUCAAUUACUCAAAAGGACACGGACCAGGAAAGGCUGUAUAUUCUGGGACACAUCCUCCCAGUGACUGCUUUGUGUUGUAAUAGAGUCUGGCCAGAAAGCUGCCAGAUCUGUCUUGGAUGACUACUGUGUCAAAAGCAUUUUUUAAUGACACAGAUGGAGCACUGAGUCUCCUCCCCACUUCCUUCACUGUUGCCACAUAAAGGUUAAACUGGGCUGGCACACUGCAAAGCCCCAUGGUUUUCAGUCUGUAAAAAAAACUUUGGAAAGAGACUGCUCAGUGUCAUAUGGCUGUUUUAAGAGGAGGAAAUGCACAUGCUGAUGUUUAGCGGUAAUCUGGGAAGAUUUGCAUCUGUUGCAUUUGCAAGGCCAAGUGACUUCCACUAGAUAACAUCUGUUGAAUUUGCAAGGCCAAGUGACGACUAGAAAAUCUAGAAAUACAAGAAAAAGACAAACUGAACCAGGGACAAAAUGAGGAAAUUAGAACCAGCAAGUAAAUUCUAAGUGCAAGGAACUUCUAGUUAUGAGAUCUCCAUUGAGAAAUUCUUCAGUGCAGCUGGCAACCAUUUCUUUCUGCAGCUGAAGUUUCUGAAUGAUAACUUUUUGUGGAGUGUAUCACAGGAAUGUAGAUUGCAAAGGGCAAAAAUCUAGACUGCAGCCACAAAGUGUAUAUCUGAACAGAAGGCAAAAUGCUUCUGGAAUUUGGAAAGGGAUAGAGAGAAGCAGCCUCAACUUCUGGAUGUUUCCUACCUAGUCAUCUUGAUUUCCAGCCAUCAGCUUGUCACCAUUGUCAUUCUUUCUUCAUUGGUUUAACUCAUUCCAGUGAAACACUGGAGAACCCAACAAGUCAUCUUCUAUCAGAAACUGGACAAAACCACCAGCUGUUUUCAGACAAAAGCGAGUAGAGCACAUAUUGC
rnacentral:lncRNA from 1 species